rnacentral:ncRNA from 2 species
AUAUUGUGCUCCAGCUAUGGUUCACGCCUGUUCACAGGUUGUGCUAAGAGGGAAUCCGGUGAGAGUCCGGUACUGACGCGCAGCGGUGUGGGGGAACGAAAGCGACGCGGGUGAAAACGCCCACGCACUGUCCUGAAAGUGGAUGGGAAGCGGUCGCCGUAGGUUCUAAAAAACGUGUAAACGCCCCCGAGUCCGAAGACCUGCCAUGCUGAAGUUUUCAUG